rnacentral:rRNA from 1 species
UACGUAGGGGGCGAGCGUUGUCCGAAGUUACUGGGCGUAAAGCGCGCGUAGGCGGGUUGGCAAGUCUGCUGUGAAAGCCCGGGGCUUAACUCCGGAGGGUCGGUGGAUACUGCCAGUCUUGAAGGUGCUAGGGAGAGAUGGAAUUACCGGUGUAGCGGUGAAAUGCGUAGAUAUCGGUAGGAACACCAGUGGCGAAGGCGGCUACCUGGACCAGCACUGACACUGAGGCACGAAAGCGUGGGGAGCAAACAGG